rnacentral:rRNA from 1 species
GAUAUGGCUCAGGACGAACGCUGGCGGCGUGCUUAACACAUGCAAGUCGAACGAGAAUCUACUGAAGGAGGAUUCGUCCAACGGAUGUAGAGGAAAGUGGCGGACGGGUGAGUAACGCGUGAGGAACCUGCCUUGAAGAGGGGGACAACAGUUGGAAACGACUGCUAAUACCGCAUGAAGCAUAGGGGUCGCAUGAUCUUUAUGCCAAAGAUUUAUCGCUUCAAGAUGGCCUCGCGU